UACGUAGGGGGCUAGCGUUGUCCGGAAUCAUUGGGCGUAAAGCGCGUGUAGGCGGCCCGGUAAGUCCGCUGUGAAAGUCGGGGGCUCAACCCUCGGAUGCCGGUGGAUACUGUCGGGCUCGAGUACGGAAGAGGCGAGUGGAAUUCCUGGUGUAGCGGUGAAAUGUGUUGAUAUUGGAAGGAACGCCGGUGGCGAAAGCGACACACUGGACCUUGUCUGACGCUGAGGCACGAAAGCCAGGGGAGCAAACGGG
rnacentral:rRNA from 1 species